CAAAGAAAUCAUUGUGAAUUUUACUUGUUUCUAUUCAAAUCACAAAAAUUAUGUUCCAUAAAAGAAAUAUAUGUAACUACACUUUUAAGAAAGUUAAAAAUCAAGAAUAUUUUGAAUAAAACCUGAUGAUUUCUUAAAUUAGAGGGUUUUUACAAUCAUUUAAGAGCUGUUCCAUUUAACCAUACAUGGUACUCAAGGAAGGCUCUUUCAAAAUGGGGUAUGGUGUGAAAUUUAAAAAAUUGCACUUAUAUUUUCAUUAUACUUGACAC
rnacentral:lncRNA from 1 species